rnacentral:rRNA from 1 species
GACGAACGCUGGCGGCGUGCUUAACACAUGCAAGUCGAACGGAAAGGCCCUGCUCUUGUGGGGUGCUCGAGUGGCGAACGGGUGAGUAACACGUGAGUAACCUGCCCUUGUCUUUGGGAUAACUUCAGGAAACUGGGGCUAAUACCGGAUAGGAGCUCCUGCUGCAUGGUGGGGGUUGGAAAGUUUCGGCGGUUGGGGAUGGACUCGCGGCUUAUCCGCUUGUUGGUGGGGUAGUGGCUUACCAAGGCUUUGACGGGUAGCCGGCCUGAGAGGGUGACCGGCCACAUGGGGACUGAGAGACGGCCCAGACGCCUACGGGAGGCAGUAGUGGGGAAUAUUGCACAAUGGGCGGAAGCCUGAUGCAGCAACGCCGCGUGCGGGAUGACGGCCUUCGGGUUGUAAACCGCUUUCGCCGGUGACGAAGCGUGAGUGACGGUAAUGGGUAAAGAAGCACCGGCUAACUACGUG